UACGUAGGUGGCAAGCGUUGUUCGGAGUUACUGGGCGUAAAGGGUGUGUAGGCGGUUGCUUAAGUUUGGUGUGAAAUCUCCCGGCUCAACUGGGAGGGUGCGCCGAAUACUGAGUGACUCGAGUGCGGGAGAGGAAAGUGGAAUUCCUGGGUGUAGCGGUGAAAUGCGUAGAUAUCUGGAGGAAUACCGGUGGCGAAGGCGGCAUCCUGGACCGACAUUGACGCUGAGGAGCGAAAGCUAGGGGAGCAAACGGG
rnacentral:rRNA from 1 species